rnacentral:lncRNA from 1 species
CCUCUUUUUGUUGAAGUUAUCAAGACCAAAUAUGGACCAUCGAUAGACCUCAUCAGAGAAAUUUUACCAGAUGAACUUUUCUAGGAUUUCAUCAUCCCUUUAGAAGUUAUCUCCCUUUUAUUGAUUUUUUUCAACAUUGCCCCCUUUAUGUUUAAAAGAUAUCAGACUUAUAUGACAAUAGGUAGAUAUCAUCAUGAUGUAUUACCACAUGAGGCUGCAUAGGAUUUCAUCUUCCCCUUUGAGAGUUAUAUCCCCUUAUAGCAAUAUUUUAUAUUUGCAUUUUUCUCAAAAAGUAUUAGAGAUAGAAUGUAAUUGAAAAUGACAGCAUGUACAAGAACAGAUGGCAAUGUUUAUAAACAUAAACAAUUAAUUUGUUACUUACCCUUAUAAGGAGUUAUUUCCCUUUAAAAAUUAUAAAUAAUUUUAAAAAAAAUUUAUUUUCAGAACCGGAAGUCAUAGCGACCUUGAACCUUCACCAAUAAUCUUUAAUUCAUGUGACCUUCAAUAUGCACCCAAGGUCAAAGGUCACCGAG